rnacentral:rRNA from 1 species
GGCGAACGGGUGAGUAACGCGUGAGUAACCUGCCCUGGAGUGGGGGGACAACAGUUGGAAACGACUGCUAAUACCGCAUAAGCCCACGGAUCCGCAUGGAUCUGCGGGAAAAGGAUUUAUUCGCUUCAGGAUGGACUCGCGUCCAAUUAGCUAGUUGGUGAGGUAACGGCCCACCAAGGCGACGAUUGGUAGCCGGACUNAGAGGUUGAACGGCCACAUUGGGACUGAGACACGGCCCAGACUCCUACGGGAGGCAGCAUGC